UAUUCAUCAAAGAAUUUAAAAAUUUGUAAAAAUAAUUUCAGUUAAUUUAACCAUACGAGCGUUGAUCUAAUCAUAUGCAUGGCAGAUGCGAUUAAAUAGAAGGUUUUUUAACCUACAUUUCAGUGACAGCUUAAACAUAAUUCUCAACCAAAAGUUUAUAGCUGAAAUUCGAACUUCUGACGGGUGGUUCAUUUUUCCCUUAAAGUAGUAACUUUAAGGAAACAAUCCCUUUCAGUAUUUUGCAGGGACUGAUCAAGAGCGGAAAAAAAUGCCGUAGCGAUCUUUCAAAAUUGAGAGCCUUCUCGAAGGAGAGCCGAGUAAAAUUGAGGUUGGUGGAUGUUCUUUGUCUGCAGAAACGAAGGUGCGCCGUGCCAUUAUGGAUUUCUCAAUAAAGGAAGCUCAGGUCAGAAACGUGGGCAGCAUAGAACUGGAGCGUCUCCUGUUUACUUCAAGUGACGGGCACUCGUUUCCUUUGCUUUCACCACGAGUCGACGUACAGUUCACGACAUUAAUAUUUCGCCAUAUAAAUUUCCAGCAGUGUAUGAGUCGAAAAAGAAACUAAACAAAUACUUAAAGUUUAAUACUUCUUAACAGUGAUCAAUUAAAUUUACCACAUCAGUGAAUGUGUCAGUUAAAAAAAUCUUUUUUGUCAAAAUUUUUUUUCUGAUUAUUGUCGACGUUCAAAGUUAUAAAACUUGUAUAACUGCGUCACGUCCUCGUGAUGUGUAUUAAAUUAUAUUUUUUACAUAAUGAAAUUAAUUUGUUCUAAAAUCA